rnacentral:rRNA from 1 species
GACGAACGCUGGCGGCGUGCUUAACACAUGCAAGUCGAACGGAAAGGCCCUGCUUUUGUGGGGUGCUCGAGUGGCGAACGGGUGAGUAACACGUGAGUAACCUGCCCUUGACUUUGGGAUAACUUCAGGAAACUGGGGCUAAUACCGGAUAGGAGCUCCUGCUGCAUGGUGGGGGUUGGAAAGUUUCGGCGGUUGGGGAUGGACUCGCGGCUUAUCAGCUUGUUGGUGGGGUAGUGGCUUACCAAGGCUUUGACGGGUAGCCGGCCUGAGAGGGUGACCGGCCACAUUGGGACUGAGAUAAGGCCCAGACUCCUACGGGAGGCAGCAGUGGGGAAUAUUGCACAAUGGGCGGAAGCAUGAUGCAGCAACGCCGCGUGCGGGAUGACGGCCUUCGGGUUGUAAACCGCUUUCGCCUGUGACGAAGCGUGAGUGACGGUAAUGGGUAAAGAAGCACCGGCUAACUACGUG